GCGUGCCUUGCAACCCUAAACGCCCCUGAUCUCCUCUGAACUUGGAGGCUAAGUAGGGUCAAAUCUGGUUAGUACCAGGAUAGGAGACAUUGUAGAUAUCACAAAUUCUUUCACACC
ensembl:rRNA 5S_rRNA 5S ribosomal RNA